rnacentral:rRNA from 1 species
CACGUAGGCACCAAGCGUUGUCCGGAUUUAUUGGGCGUAAAGGUCUCGUAGGCGGUUCGGUAAGUCGGGUGUGAAAACUCUGGGCUCAACCCAGAGCCGCCACCCGAUACUGCUGUGACUCGAGUGCGGUAGGGGAGCGGGGAAUUCCUGGUGUAGCGGUGAAAUGCGCAGAUAUCAGGAGGAACACCAGUGGCGAAGGCGCCGCUCUGGGCCGUGACUGACGCUGAAGAGCGAAAGCGUGGGUAGCAAACAGG